GACGUAGGGGGCGAGCGUUGUCCGGAUUCAUUGGGCGUAAAGAGCGCGCAGGCGGUCGUUCAAGUCGCGUGUGAAAGCCCCCGGCUCAACUGGGGAGGGUCACGCGAUACUGAUCGACUCGAAGGCAGGAGAGGGUAGUGGAAUUCCCGGUGUAGUGGUGAAAUGCGUAGAUAUCGGGAGGAACACCAGUGGCGAAGGCGACUACCUGGCCUGUUCUUGACGCUGAGGCGCGAAAGCUAGGGAGCAAACGGG
rnacentral:rRNA from 1 species